rnacentral:rRNA from 1 species
CCUACGGGAGGCAGCAGUAAGGAAUAUUGGACAAUGGAGGCAACUCUGAUCCAGCCAUGCCGCGUGAAGGAAGACGGCCUUAUGGGUUGUAAACUUCUUUUAUACAGGAAGAAACCUUUCCACGUGUGGAAAGUUGACGGUACUGUAAGAAUAAGGAUCGGCUAACUCCGUGCCAGCAGCCGCGGUAAUACGGAGGAUCCAAGCGUUAUCCGGAAUUAUUGGGUUUAAAGGGUCCGCAGGCUGUUUGUUAAGUCAGAGGUGAAAUCCUACCGCUCAACGGUAGAACUGCCUUUGAUACUGGCAAACUUGAGUUAUUGUGAAGUAGUUAGAAUGUGUAGUGUAGCGGUGAAAUGCAUAGAUAUUACACAGAAUACCGAUUGCGAAAGCAGAUUACUAACAAUAUACUGACGCUGAGGGACGAAAGCGUGGGUAGCGAACAGGAUUAGAUACCCUGGUAGUCCACGCCGUAAACGAUGGUCACUAGCUGUUCGAUGUACAUUGGUACGUUGAGUGGCUAAGCGAAAGUGAUAAGUGACCCACCUGGGGAGUACGCUCGCAAGAGUGAAACUCAAAGGAAUUGACGG